CCUACGGGAGGCAGCAGUGGGGAAUAUUGGGCAAUGGACGCAAGUCUGACCCAGCAACGCCGCGUGAAGGAAGAAGGCUUUCGGGUUGUAAACUUCUUUUAAGGGGGAAGAGCAGAAGACGGUACCCCUUGAAUAAGCCACGGCUAACUACGUGCCAGCAGCCGCGGUAAUACGUAGGUGGCAAGCGUUGUCCGGAUUUACUGGGUGUAAAGGGCGUGCAGCCGGAGAGACAAGUCAGAUGUGAAAUCCACGGGCUCAACCCGUGAACUGCAUUUGAAACUGUUUCCCUUGAGUGUCGGAGAGGUAAUCGGAAUUCCUUGUGUAGCGGUGAAAUGCGUAGAUAUAAGGAAGAACACCAGUGGCGAAGGUAGAUUACUGGACGAUAACUGACGGUGAGGCGCGAAAGCGUGGGGAGCAAACAGGAUUAGAUACCCGUGUAGUC
rnacentral:rRNA from 1 species